GAGCGCGCCACCACGCCCGGCUAAUUUUUUGUAUUUUUAGUGGAGAUGAGGCCUUGCCAUGUUGGCCAGGUCGGUUUCAAACUCCUGACCUCAGGUGAUCCAUCUGCCUUGGCCUCCCAAGUGCUGGGAUUACAGGCAUGAGCCACAGCGCCUGGCCUGUUCUUACUUUUAAAUCUUGUACUAUGUACAUCUUUCUGAGCUUCAUCAAGUCCUUUCUGGAAUGAGGCAAGAUUUAUGAGUGAUACUUCAGAUGAAACAUAAUAGAUUUAAACACUUAUUUCAGAAAGGAAUAAAGACUUACGUGUCAAUAUGAAAAAAUGAAGGAAGAUAAAGCAAUAGAUUAAAUCAAAAGAAUGUAGGAGAGAAAACAUAAAAAUAAGAGCAAACACUGAUUUUUUAAAAAACAACACAUCCUAGAACAAAGCCCAAAUUUGGUCUUUAAAAGAGACUGAUAAAAUAGUCAGCUAUCUGGUGAGAUUGGUAAAGAAAAAAAUGGUAAUAUUGAGGUGAGAAAAAGGGAUAUAACUAUAGAUACAACCAAAAUUAAAAGAAGAUAAGAAAAUACUGUGAACAGCUUUAUGGUGAUAAAUUUGGAAACUUAGACAAAAUGGAUAAAUUCUUAGAAAAAUAUGACCUAUAGGGAAACUGUCUCAAAAACAGAAAUAGUAAGACUGACUAGCUCAAUAUAUAUAUAAGGAAAAUAAAUGAAAGUAGUAGUUAAAAUUUUUUACCCAAAUAAAACACCGUGCCCAGAUGAUUUUUACAGGUAAGUUCUAAAAAGCUUUCAAGGAACACAUUGUUCUAAUCUUAGACUUAGUUUUCUAGAGCAUAAUAAAAGAUCAAAUAUUCUCCAACUCAUUCUAUUAGCUUAAUUUAGUCUUGAUGGCAAAAUCAGGCAAGCCCAGCAGAAGAAAAGAAAAAAUCUAAUUGCAACUUUAGCAAAGAUGAAAUUCUAAACCAGUGAUAGAAAAUAGAAUCCAGUCAUAAAUGUAAUAAAAGGUACUGUAUCAUAAUCAAUCUAGAUUUAUUCCAGUAAUGAAAGAAUAGUUUAAUAUUAGUGUGAUGGCUAAUACUGAGUGUCAACUUGAUUGGAUUGAAGGAUACAAAGUAUUGAUCCUGGAUGUGUCUGUGAGGGUGUUGCCAAAGGAGAUUGACAUUUGAGUCAGUGGAGUGGGAAAGGCAGACCCACCCUUGGGUGGGCACAGUCCAAUCAGCUGCCGGCAUGGCUAGAAUAUAAGCAGGCAGAAAAAUGUGAAAAGAGAGAGACUGGCGUAGCCUCCCAGCCUACAUCUUUCUCCCGUGCUGGAUGCUUCCUGCCCUCGAACACUGGACUCCAAAUUCUUCAGUUUUGGAACUCAGACUGGCUCUCCUUGCUCCUUAGCCUGCGGUGGCCUACUGUGGGACCUUGUGAUUGUGUGAGUUAACAAUCCUUGAUAAACUCCCCUUUUAUAUAUACCUAUUCCAUUAGUUCUGUCCCUCUAGAAAACCCUAAUACAAUUAGGAAAGCACAUCUCACACACACACACACACACACACACACACACACACGACUUUAUAAAAUUAAGAGAUGAAAG
rnacentral:lncRNA from 10 species